GCUGGGGUUGUGGCUCAGUGGUAGAGCACUUGCCUAGCAUGUGAAAGGCAUUGGAUUCAAUUCUCAGCA
rnacentral:tRNA from 1 species